rnacentral:misc_RNA from 1 species
GUUUGUUUGGCAUUGCUUUUGGAGCUGCCGUUGUGAAAAGCUGCUCCUUAAAUAUACUAGUGGGUAUUAAAAAUUGUUUUAAAGUUUAAAUUUGAUAUGUUUUAGUCUGUGAAAACUCCAAAACAACAAUACUUUUUUCAACAUCAUCUAAAAUGAUGUUUUCCAAAAUAGCUUUUUUGAGUCUCCCAACCGCAAUCCCAAAUGGAGCUUUGUGUUUGAUGUUUUGGAGACAUCAUCUAGAUGUGUCUCCAUAAGUAGAAUGUGGCUAAUUGUAGAGUAUAUAUCUUGAUUAUUUUGGAUUUGAUUAGAGAACAUGUUUGGUAAAUUUUUUAAUAUUGGAGAGCUCAUCUAUAAUUCCAGAAGUGUGUAUGUUGUCUUCCUCUCUCAUUCCCCAUUAGUAAUGAAUGAAUUUGUUGCCUGCCUAGCUGUACCACAGCAGCACCUAUAUAGAGCACCAGCAUUUAUUUUAGCUGAGGCUAACCCAGUGAUUGUACUGGAAAUAAAAACAUAAUGACAAGCAGAUUCACAAACUUUAAGAAGAAUCAUGCACAUCUCUGAAUGGAAGAUGGAUCUUAAAAAAAGGGAAAAGUAUGGAGCGAUGUUAAUAUGUUAAUCCUUUUAUUUUCUUUGCUAAUUUCAGAUAUAAUGUCUACAGGUUACCCUUUCUGGGUUCAGGU